GACAGAGGGUGCAAACGUUGUUCGGAAUUACUGGGCGUAAAGCGCGUGUAGGCGGCCCUGCAAGUCGGGUGUGAAAUCCCAUGGCUCAACUAUGGAAGUGCACUCGAAACUGCAGGGCUAGAGUCCUGGAGAGGAAGGUGGAAUGCUUGGUGUAGAGGUGAAAUUCGUAGAUAUCAAGCGGAACACCGGUGGCGAAGGCGGCCUUCUGGACAGUGACUGACGCCGAGACGCGAAAGCGUGGGGAGCAAACAGG
rnacentral:rRNA from 1 species